UUAUUUAAGUUAAAUAAAUGAUUUCAAUAAUUACAAUUUUCACUAAAAGUGAACAGUCAUCUAAAAAAGAAACAGCCUGUAAUGUUAAUAAAACUUCCCAAUUUCACAAAUGUGACAUUUUUACACAUUAAAACCUUAGAAAAGUUCACACAUUAUUAAUUGUUUCCCCUACUUGUGACCUCAGCUCAAAGUAACUCAAAGGAUGCAGUCGGUCAGGCCGACUUCAGCAACAUAAGCCCCCCAUAAGCUGCUGUCCCACCGCCACAAGUGAGGCUGUAACAGAGAAAUACGCACUUUAAGUUACACUUCCUUCCUUGGGGAGGAUCAAGGUGACACUUGCUUUUUGAAAGGUUGCGUGUUCUUCAUUUAAAGUGCUCAGAAGAGGAGCAAAAUCAAUUGGACGUGUCCACUGAUGAAGAUCACGUAACAUUUUUAAAUGGACUUGAUGGUGCUGGCGUGCAGACGGCCUCACCUGGUCCCCUGAGCACCUCUGGUGAAGUGGGGCCGCUGCCCUUUCUGCCGCGGUGGAUUGGAGGAAUGUGGCAUGCAACACACACACACACACACACACACAGACAUAAACACACACGCUGAGAGGACCUCCCACCCCAGGACCGUAUACAGCCGAUAUGCACAGCGGCAUUUUUGAAGGCUUCCCACUCAAACAGGUCUGUUGCUGCUGAGCUGCUGAGUGGAGCUUUCAGAGAAUAAUGACACCUGUUGUAGAUCGCAUGAUUAUUUCUGCAGUAUUUUAAUCAUAUGCACUUAAACCUGAGCUUUGGUAUUGAUACAUACGUUUACAGUAGCUAGAUGCCACUUGUCAUACAUAUUGAUCUUUUUUUAUACCCCGUAUAAAAUGUAUAUUUGCACUUUUUCCAGCAGUCUUCAUAUGGCCCUCCUUUUAUAUAGUCUGAAUGCAGAUUAAUACUGGAUGAUUUUCUCAUUUCAUAAUAUCAUACAAUAACUAUUCACAAAAAUCUGAAAUCUUAAA
ensembl:lncRNA